UUUCCAGACUCCUACGGGAGGCAGCAGUGGGGAAUAUUGCGCAAUGGGGGAAACCCUGACGCAGCAACGCCGCGUGCAGGAAGAAGGUCUUCGGAUUGUAAACUGUUGUCGCAGGGGAAGAAGACAGUGACGGUACCCUGUGAGAAAGUCACGGCUAACUACGUGCCAGCAGCCGCGGUAAUACGGAGGAUGCGAGCGUUAUCCGGAUUUAUUGGGUUUAAAGGGUGCGUAGGCGGGAUGCCAAGUCAGCGGUAAAAAUGCGGUGCUCAACGCCGUCGAGCCGUUGAAACUGGCGUUCUUGAGUGGGCGAGAAGUAUGCGGAAUGCGUGGUGUAGCGGUGAAAUGCAUAGAUAUCACGCAGAACUCCGAUUGCGAAGGCAGCAUACCGGCGCCCUACUGACGCUGAGGCACGAAAGCGUGGGUAUCGAACAGGAUUAGAUACCCUCGUA
rnacentral:rRNA from 1 species